AGAGUUUGAUCAUGGCUCAGAACGAACGCUGGCGGCAGGCUUAACACAUGCAAGUCGAACGGUUGUAGCAAUACAGCAGUGGCGCACGGGUGAGUAACGCGUGGGAACAUACCUUUCAGUCGGGAAUAACCUCGGGAAACUGUGGCUAAUACUCGAUAUUCUCUACGGAGGAAAGAUUUAUCGCUGAAAGAUUGGCCCGC
rnacentral:rRNA from 1 species